AUUGAACGCUGGCGGCAGGCCUAACACAUGCAAGUCGAACGAGUGGCGGACGGGUGAGUAAUGUCUGGGAAACUGCCUGAUGGAGGGGGAUAACUACUGGAAACGGUAGCUAAUACCGCAUACCAUCGGAUGUGCCCAGAUGGGAUUAGCUAGUUGGUGGGGUAACGGCUCACCCAGGCGACGAUCCGUAGCUGGUCUGAGAGGAUGAUCAGUCACACUGGAACUGAGACACGGUCCAGACUCCUACGGGAGGCAGCAGUGGGGAAUAUUGGACAAUGGGCGAAAGCCUGAUGCAGCCAUGCCGCGUGUAUGAAGAAGGUCUUCGGAUUGUAAAGUACUUUCAGCGGGGAGGCGUUACCCACAGAAUAAGCACCGGCUAACUCCGUGCCAGCAGCCGCGGUAAUUC
rnacentral:rRNA from 1 species